UACGGAUACGUCUGGUUUAGAUGC
rnacentral:siRNA from 1 species